UCGAGGAUCUUCGUCAAUGGGCGCAAGCCUGAACGAGCGAUGCCGCGUGAGCGAUGAAGGCCUUCGGGUUGUAAAGCUCAAAAGAAGCGAGAAAGGGAAACUUGAUCAAGCUUCAGUAAGCUCGGGCUAAGUUCGUGCCAGCAGCCGCGGUAAGACGAACCGAGCGAACGUUGUUCGGAAUCACUGGGCUUAAAGGGCGCGUAGGCGGAUUUGCAAGUCCGGGUGAAAUCCCACAGCUCAACUGUGGAACUGCCUCGGAUACUGUGAGUCUCGAGGGUGGCAGGGGUAUGCGGAACUAUCGGUGGAGCGGUGAAAUGCGUUGAUAUCGAUAGGAACUCCGGUGGCGAAGGCGGCAUACUGGUCCACUUCUGACGCUGAGGCGCGAAAGCCAGGGGAGCGAAACGGGAUUAGAUACCCCGGUAGUCCUGGCCCUAAACGAUGGGAACUAGCUAGUAGGCUUCACAUGGGUUUACUGGCGAAGCAAAAGUG
rnacentral:rRNA from 1 species